UAAGCGGAGGAAAAGAAACUAACAAGGAUUCCCUUAGUAACGGCGAGUGAACCGGGAAAAGCUCAAAUUUGAAAUCUGGCUGUCUUCGAUAGUCCGAGUUGUAAUCUAUAGAAGUGUUUUCCGUGCUGAACUGUGUCUAAGUCCCUUGGAACAGGGUAUCAAAGAGGGUGACAAUCCCGUACUUGACACAAUCAUCAGUGCUCUGUGAUACACUUUCUACGAGUCGAGUUGUUUGGGAAUGCAGCUCAAAAUGGGUGGUAAAUUCCAUCUAAAGCUAAAUAUUGGCGAGAGACCGAUAGCGAACAAGUACCGUGAGGGAAAGAUGAAAAGCACUUUGGAAAGAGAGUUAAACAGUACGUGAAAUUGUUGAAAGGGAAACGAUUGAAGUCAGUCGUGUUCAUUGGAUUCAGCUAGUUCUUCUAGUCUACUUCCUUUGAACGGGUCAACAUCAGUUUUGUCCGGUGGAUAAAGGCAGUAGGAAUGUGGCUUCUUCGGAAGUGUUAUAGCCUAUUGUCACAUACACUGGAGGAGACUGAGGACUGCAGCUCGCCUUUUGGCCGGGGUUCGCCCACGUUCGAGCUUAGGAUGUUGACAUAAUGGCUUUAAACGACCCGUCUUGAAACACG
rnacentral:rRNA from 1 species